rnacentral:rRNA from 1 species
UACGUAGGGGGCGAGCGUUGUCCGGAUUUAUUGGGCGUAAAACGCUUGUAGGUGGCUACGUCAAGUCGGACGUGAAAUCUCCCGGCUUAACUGGGAGGGGUCGCUCGAUACUGGCGAGCUCGAGGCAGGUAGGGGGAAGCGGAAUUCCCGGUGUAGUGGUGGAAUGCGCAGAUAUCGGGAGGAACACCAGUGGCGAAGGCGGCUUCCUGGACCUGUUCUGACACUGAGGAGCGAAAGCGUGGGGAGCGAGCCGG